CUCAACGAGGUGGGAGAGUCACAUGUCCUUGUUUACGAGGAGAGGGAGCCGCCCAGCUGCUGGCUUCUGCUCCCUCACUCCCCAGCACGAGUGCAUAAACACACACACACCCAUCUGGUAUUUGGGGGGCAAUGCCUACUGCUGCAGCUCUUGCCAGCCUGCAUCUGGGUCUCAGCUGCCCGGGGCUAUGUGCAGAGAGGUCAGGGAGCUGGGGCCAGGCUGGGGGUGGCUUUGGACCCAUCAGAGAGCAUGAGCAGUAAGACAGCAGCAGCUGGGGCCGUGACAUAUGCCCAGCCCGCCUCUUCAGCGCAGAAAGAUGGACUGCUUUAACCCAUUCGGGCCCACUGCUGCCUCAGAGAGAAGCCUGCUAGGGAAGUGUGUGUUGGGGGAUGGGUUGAGUCGGGAAUAGUAAUAAAGAGGAAGUGUGUUUAAAAAAUACUUGCAGAACUCAUGAGCUAAUGGAAGAGGAUGCCAACCUGUGUGCACAAAGGGCCGACAAUCCUCCUUUGGUCAGCACACAGAAAUCACUGAUUAAAACCCAUCUCUAAGGUGACACCAAACUUAGCCAGGAUGGAGAGGGGAAAGGAGAAUGGACGGAAGAGCAGGAAGAAGUCAUCUCGAAGCUCCUUGAGGGAAUGGCCCAUGUCACGGCUGUCUUCACAUCACUGGGGCCCAACAGAGUGCCUGGCUCUUAGUAAAGAUUCCUCUUUCUUGCCUUUUUUCCAUUCCAGAGAGAUGUCAUGUCAACGGAUUAAAGAACUCUGGAUAUAAAGAUGGACUUCAAAAUAUGUUAUUUUUAUUAUUUCUUUCUUUUUUUUAAAAUUGAAGUACAUACCACAAAAUGCACAAAUCUUAGUGUACAGCUUAAUGAAUUUUGAC